GCCUUCGUGGUAUAGUGGUCAGCACGCUCGACGCGUAUUCGAGAGGUCCGUGGUUCGAGUCCCGGUGAGGGCA
rnacentral:tRNA from 1 species